rnacentral:rRNA from 1 species
GAUGAACGCUGGCGGUAUGCUUAACACAUGCAAGUCGAACGGUACCUUCGGGUAUAGUGGCGGACGGGUGAGUAACGCGUGAGAAUCUAUCUUCAGGUCGGGGACAACAGUUAGAAAUGACUGCUAAUACCGGAUGUGCCGAAAGGUAAAAGAUUUAUUGCCUGAAAAAGAGCUCGCGUCAGAUUAGCUAGUAGGUGGUGUAAGAGACUACCUAGGCUUCGAUCUGUAGCUGGUCUGAGAGGACGAUCAGCCACACUGGAACUGAGACACGGUCCAGACUCCUACGGGAGGCAGCAGUGGGGAAUUUUCCGCAAUGGGCGAAAGCCUGACGGAGCAAUACCGCGUGAGGGACGAAGGCUCUUGGGUCGUAAACCUCUUUUCUCAAGGAAGAUUCAGACGGUACUUGAGGAAUAGGCAUCGGCUAACUCUGUG